UUGAAAAAGCAAACAACAGUCCUUAUGGAUUGAGCGCCGGCGUUUGGACCGACAAGGGUUCAAAGAUCUUUAACCUGACAACAAAAAUGAGAGCAGGCGUGGUUUGGGCAAAUACAUAUAACAAGUUCGACCCUACUUCACCGUUUGGCGGCUACAAAGAAAGCGGUUAUGGACGUGAAGGUGGAUUGCAUGGCCUGGCAGCGUAUACAAAAUUAGAACACAGAUGACG
rnacentral:misc_RNA from 1 species